GGGAACGUGCCUUUAGGUUCGGAAUAACUCAGGGAAACUUGUGCUAAUACCGAAUGUGCCCUUCGGGGGAAAGAUUUAUCGCCUUUAGAGCGGCCCGCGUCUGAUUAGCUAGUUGGUGAGGUAAAGGCUCACCAAGGCGACGAUCAGUAGCUGGUCUGAGAGGAUGAUCAGCCACAUUGGGACUGAGACACGGCCCAAACUCCUACGGGAGGCAGCAGUGGGGAAUCUUGCGCAAUGGGCGAAAGCCUGACGCAGCCAUGCCGCGUGAAUGAUGAAGGUCUUAGGAUUGUAAAAUUCUUUCACCGGGGACGAUAAUGACGGUACCCGGAGAAGAGGCCCCGGCUAACUUCGUGCCAGCAGCCGCGGUAAUACGAAGGGGGCUAGCGUUGCUCGGAAUUACUGGGCGUAAAGGGAGCGUAGGCGGACAUUUAAGUCAGGGGUGAAAUCCCGGGGCUCAACCUCGGAAUUGCCUUUGAUACUGGGUGUCUUGAGUAUGAGAGAGGUGUGUGGAACUCCGAGU
rnacentral:rRNA from 1 species